GUGGGGAAUUUUGGACAAUGGGCGCAAGCCUGAUCCAGCAAUGCCGCGUGCAGGAAGAAGGCCUUCGGGUUGUAAACUGCUUUUGUACGGAACGAAACGGUCCUGGUUAAUACCCGGGGCUAAUGACGGUACCGUAAGAUUAAGCACCGCCUAACUACGUGCCAGCAGCCGCGGUAAUACGUAGGGUGCAAGCGUUAAUCGGAUUUACUGGGCGUAAUGCGUGCGCAGGCGGUGCUGUAAGACAGGCGUGAAAUCCCCGGGCUUAACCUGGGAAUUGCGCUUGUGACUGCAGUGCUGGAGUGCGGCAGAGGGGGAUGGAAUUCCGCGUGUAGCAGUGAAAUGCGUAGAUAUGCGGAGGAACACCGAUGGCGAAGGCAAUCCCCUGGGCCUGCACUGACGCUCAUGCACGAAAGCGUGGGGAGCAAACAGGAUUAGAAACCCGGGUAGUCC
rnacentral:rRNA from 1 species